rnacentral:rRNA from 1 species
GACGUAGGGCGCGAGCGUUGUCCGGAUUUAUUGGGCGUAAAGAGCUCGUAGGCGGCUUGUCGCGUCGUUCGUGAAAACCUGCAGCUCAACUGCAGGCUUGCGGUCGAUACGGGCAGGCUCGAGUUCGGUAGGGGAGACUGGAAUUCCUGGUGUAGCGGUGAAAUGCGCAGAUAUCAGGAGGAACACCGGUGGCGAAGGCGGCUCUCGU